AUCUGGUUGAACUAGUAGGAAGAACACCCUUCUAAGGUGAAGGUAUUCCAUUUCUAAGAAGGAAGUUCUAUAUAUUCGAACUAGAGAGAAGCUCUAAAAUGGAAAUCGAGAAGGAACCCCUUGUCCGUCCAGGUACUCACCCCGUCGUAACUCGCAAUCAAACAUAGGGUUGGCAAACUAGGAAGGCACAGAAAAGAAGGCACUUGUGAUGGUGAGCAAGGUAUUUUUGAAUUUCCUCAAAUUGAUGAAUCAAUGAAGUAGUUGAAUUGAAGUAAAUGUGCCUACGAAAGAAGAG
rnacentral:lncRNA from 1 species